CGCUGGGCAGCGAACGUCGUCGUGGCGGCCGACGCAGCGCCCCGUGACGACCCCGGCGGCAACUGGGUGGCUCCUGAGGAAGUUUCUAUCUAAGUUUCUAACAUCGACAUGGCCUGUCUUGAGACAGCCAUUUGUUGUCCAGACACCAUCCGACACCGGCGUCAUCCGACACCGGCGUGGGUGACCCAGCUAGGUGCAUUUAUAUAACGUCAAGUUCGUCAGGUCACUGCUGUCGGUGGAGCCCGGCCCGCACGGCCACACAGCUGGUCGGUGCCGGGUCUGGAAGUCGGUCUUCCAGAGGACUGGUAUACCUUGGGAUUCGACGCCUCCCAGAUUCGGCCAGCGACCCUGUGGCAUUCCUCGUCACCGUCAGAUUUGCAACGCCUUUGUGGUGUAUGUACGCGAGGAAGACGAACAGAGACUGACGACUUGUCUGGCCAUCCUGCCGAGCUGGACUAACCCAGGACUAACCAAACUGAUCGAGAUGAGCAGGGUCGUGUCCCCGGGCAGUCUCGUCCUCGCUUUGACCUCGUGCCGCGUUCGGCGAUGUCAGCGUUCUCAAGAAGAGCCUUCGCCGCUGCGUUAUGACCGCCGAGCUUCAUGUUGGGAAAGUGUUCCCGACUGAGCUGCUGGGGAGCUGGGGAGCCAGCGCCAGUGGCCACACUGAUGUCAGGCCGGUGGCAGCCCAAGACAUGUCAUAAGAUGUCAAAACAGCUCAUUGGCUACCGGCGUGGCGCUUGACCAGGCUGUCCAGGACAGGAUUCUGGGUAUCUUCCCGGUGCCGGGGUCGCUACCGAAGUGGUGAUGACCACUGCGCACACCGACAGAGAGGUGUCCUGCCCUCGUUCUGAUUCCACCUGUUCAUCGCCCCCCGGCAGGGUUGAGCCGGAGCUCGAUAAGGCACUCUACGAGACACCAGAACUCCACUAUACCGUGAAGACGCAGCGAACUUUCUGGCGGGACUACGCCUCGGACACAAACAACGAAACUUACCCCGAAUAUCCACCGGGCAACAAGUGUUCGGACAAGCAACUGCAAACGCAACAGGUGGCUUGUCAUAGCGCCUCCCUGCUGGGCCGAUGCAACUUGCCGGAAUUUAUUGUGGUUUUGCAGACAUAGCACAAUACAGCUGGGCCACAGACGUUUGUUCUGGCGCCGGAUUGCUGGCAGAGGGUCGGUUGCAUGGGUCGAGUUUGGCUGUAACGUGUCAUAUUGUGGUGUCGGUGGCGCCUGUGGCCAAGGUUACCAGACAUCGCUUGUAUAAUGGUGGAGGGAUUGUGAACCGUGCGUUAGUGCAACCGAGAAUAGAUUACUGAGCGAUAUGGAGCACUGGUAGAGGAGACUUAGCAGGUCUUGUGUAGCAUUAUUUUAAUGAUAUUGUUCAUGCUGUCCCGUAGCUCAGUUGGUAGAGCAUUGGACUCCCGGUAGUGAGAGCCCGGGUUCG